UACAGAGGCCUCGAGCGUUGUUCGGAAUUACUGGGCGUAAAGGGAAUGUAGGUGGUCAUGUAAGUCAGAUGUGAAAUCCCGGGGCUCAACCCCGGAACUGCCUUUGAUACUGGGUAUCUCGAGUCCGGAAGAGGUGAGUGGAAUUCCGAGUGUAGAGGUGAAAUUCGUAGAUAUUCGGAGGAACACCGGUGGCGAAGGCGGCAUCCUGGACCGGUAUUGACGCUGAGGCGCGAAAGCCAGGG
rnacentral:rRNA from 1 species